CAGAGGGGGCAAGGCGUUGUUCGGAAUUACUGGGCGUAAAGGGCGCGUAGGCGGCCUUCUAAGUCGAACGUGAAAUCCCCGGGCUCAACCCGGGAACUGCGUCCGAUACUGGAAGGCUUGAAUCCGGGAGAGGGAUGUGGAAUUCCAGGUGUAGCGGUGAAAUGCGUAGAUAUCUGGAGGAACACCGGUGGCGAAGGCGACAUCCUGGACCGGUAUUGACGCUGAGGCGCGAAAGCCAGGGGAGCAAACGGGAUUAGAUACCCCGGUAGUCCUGGCCCUAAACGAUGAAUGCUUGGUGUGGCGGGUAUCGAUCCCUGCCGUGCCGAAGCUAACGCAUUAAGCAUUCCGCCUGGGGAGUACGGUCGCAAGGCUG
rnacentral:rRNA from 1 species